rfam:Schistosoma haematobium scaffold2291_7, whole genome shotgun sequence.
AGCUUUGUGAAUCCAUGCUGAGAUUUUGUCAGACACUAACCCACAAAGGCUGAUGAGACUUCUAAGAUAAGUAGUU